CCAUGAUGAAGAUGCUGGUCUUCCUCACAAAAGCCCUCGCUAAGCAGAACAGCUGCCUUUGGCCCUGGCUGAAGUUUUCACCCCCUUCUGUGACAAUAGCAUCUGGAAAGGAUAUAGCAAAAACAUCACUUAUAAGAAACCAAUGCAAAAAAUUCUACCACCUUGCUUUUUAGAUUCAGUACGUCCUUUCGGUCCUCACUGCUACAGAAAUGCUAAACAACAGUUGAGCUUCACAUUGAAUUAUUAAAUGCGAGUCUUUACCACAACUGAAUAAAUCUUGGAUUUAUGAACAGAUGAAUAUUAUUGCAGCUUGCUGCGGCCCGAAAAUGAUAGCAACAAAUGCGACUCUUGGAUCAUAUUUAUAUACAGAGUAAUAAUCAGAAAUAAAAGAUUCAGUGCAAUGUGUACUUUUUUGUUUUUACUUUUUACUGCUACUGUAUGUGCUGUGAAUGACCAAUGCUGACCUAAAUACAUUUCUGGAUAGGUGAGUGAUGAAAACAAAGGGAUACAGUCACUCUGUCUUCUGACGUGAAGGAAUCACACUAUUUCAGCAAGUUCAGGAGAUAAUCCUGGGACCCAUAUUAGUCUCAAGUCAGCAAACUGCAGGAGCCUGUAUCAUUUCCAGUGAACUCCAAUGACUUUUCAUUGUAGAAACUACAGCUGCAGAUGCUGCAACUCUAUACUGAGGACUGUACUGUUCCUUUCUAAUGCAAAUGACUCAGACAUAUGAAGGGGCAGUUUUUGGAAGCUGGAGCUUUUUGUUUAUUGUUUCUACUGUAUUAUCAACUCAAAAAGAAGGAAGAGAAAAAAAAAGAAGAGCCCAGAAAGAUGCUUGAUCUUGUAGAUGAAAGAAUGGCGAGAGGAGCAAAGAGGAUAGAGACUCCAGGACACAAUACCCUACAAGUCCUACAGUAUUUGUCAUAUUGUUCUAUUGCUUCCCCUUUCUCUGCAUUAAGCCUGCAUUUUCUUUAUCUCAUUUUAUAAGGCAGGCAGAUGCAAAAACAUGGAGGAGGAUUUCAAGAAUGGCUGUAUAGUUAUGGGUAUUUGAUCAAUGCACUAAACUCAAUCCUAAAGGAAUAAAUAAUUACUUUCUCUGCUUCCCAGGCAUUGCAUGCCUUACGCUGACAGCACACUAAGCAGGCACAGGCAGCAAGGAGGUGCACUCUGGCAGGGGUGGGUAAAAGCAGCAAGAGAAAGCCAGCGAUCCUCCAAAAGGAGACCGAAAUCAAACAGCUUGUUAUCAGCAGUUUUGUACAAGUUGUUAUAUGGGAUAAUGCACAUAAGUGACUGUUUUUUUUAUUGCUGGUGCUUAAUGCUUACCGGAUUGUUCCACUGAAUAAAAUAGGAUCUUGGAGAAUGAUUGACAGCCUGGAUCUCAACGUCUGUAAGGGGAGCUUAGCGAUAUCUAUACCAUCAAUGAUGAUCCUUCCUAUUCAAAAGAAAAACGACAGUCUGCUAGGCUGUUGGUUAUGUCACAGCCACUGGCAAAGACAUGGCUCACUUUCAGCUUGCAAUAUAUUGCAGCAGGAACAAGCCUGGAGUUGCAUAUCCCAUUAUUCAAUAACAAAACAAGUUUUAGUUAAGCAACAAGCACAGUCCUCUUAACACUAAGCCUCAGCCAUAAAAGAAUGUGAAACAUAUCUGUAAAUUUUAAGGAACGAUUAGAAAUAUUACUUAUCUGCUUGACCAGUACAAACACAUAGCAAACAAUAAGGUAAGAGGUUACCUCAAAUCAGUGACUAAUUACCAAGGGGAACGAUUGUUUCAGGAAGCCAAAUCACUAGCACUUGGAAAUUUUAUCCCCAGGUACAACUGUCUGGCUUUGUGCAAGGGCCCUGUGGACAACGUGGCUGGGAAACUGAGGACAGCAUUUUUAAGAUGCACACAAAGGCACUCUCUGUGCUGGUGGCCAUGGUGCACAGCAAAAGAAGUAUGGCAGGAAAUUCCAGGGCAGAAGGCCCAACUGUGGACAAGUCUUCCAGACCCUGUUAAGAAGAAUAAGCAGUACUGUUUCAAAGGGAGAAUAGUAACAGUAAUAAUUAACUGGCAAACUGUGUAGACAUCUAGAUGAGAUGGGUGUGGAAGACAUUUGACUGCAAUUGAAUCAACUGGGAAAAGCCAGGAAUAGCACCAAUGCAGAGAGAAAGCAGCUGGUGAGCGCCGCAGUAGCUUCACUGGAACUUGCUUUGGGGACCAUGGAUUUCUUGGUGAUCCAAAUGACAAAUACUUGCACCUACACACUGCAGAACAGAAUCAAAGAUGGAUGUUUAAGAGGGAGGUAAGAAAUGUUUUCUUAAAAAGCUGUACCUGAAGGCUCGGAUGGUGGUCAGACCUUCAACAGUCUCUGAAAAAUGGGAAAGUAAUGGGAGCUGAGUGCUGUCAUCCAGCUGCUGAAGGUCCCUGCAGAGGGUUAUGAAAAUAAUUUUGUUAAAAGUCAGUUCUGUUGUCCAGUUAUUCUCCUGGAGUGAAAGCGAAUGUCAGCACAAUGAUUACACACAUGGCAUUCAGAUGGGCUGCAAUGCAGCACUGCAGGUCUCUAAGCAGGGAAUGAAAUCCUCAGGAGGACUUUUCUCUUUAAAUUUGGGAGUACACACAGUGCUGGAGUUCCAAAUAAAUCUUCUCCCUUCACUGCCUUCCCUUGCUUCUCUCACGUUGAUAAUUCUUACAUUCAGUGUUUUAUUCAUUUAAACAUAAUUCUGGCUCAAUGCUGAAUAUGAAUUUAAUAAGAUACUGCAAAUAAGAGUUCCAGUUAAGCAGAAGGCAAAAUGCAACUUUGUCUUUGUUCUCUCUCCACCCCCAGAGGACAGCACAACUUCACACUGAGCUAACAAUACACAGACCCAGUAAAUGAGAACUUGAAGUUCUCAAUUUCAUGUUCAGUCAUCAAGUCAGUGGAACUACACACUGGGUGAAAUUCUACUUAGACUCACGUCCUUCCAGCAGGAACUAAGAGUUCUUGAGUCCUUCUCAAUCCAUGCAUACACAAAAGGAAAAAUGCAGCGUUGCUGCAAAUGCUUGCUGAGCACCACCACAAGGGAAGCAGCACAAUUGUAGGAGAUGAAAGUUCCAACCCCCUGCCACACGCAGGGUUGCCAGCCACUAGAUCAAGUAUUAGACCAGGUUGCCCAGGGCCCCAUCCAACCUGGCCUUAAACACCUCCAGGGA